CCAUCCCCUUGGGACUCUUGUGGUGUCUCUGCAGUUCCUCCGGCCACCUCUGGUGGCAAUCCCUGGGCAACCGCCAGUGGGGGUCGCUGGGUCCCCUAGGAAGCCAGUGGAUGUGGCAGCAGGGAGGGGAGCUGAUAGUCAGCAGGAGAGAAGGCCAGCCUUCGACCACUGUGCCUGCUGAUUGAUUCCUGAAUACUUCGAGGAUUGCCAUGCUCCCUGCCUGGUGUUUGGUAGAUGCUGAAGAGAUGCUAGUUCUUUUUCUUAUGAGCCCUUCUUCCUGCUUCAAAAAGUACCAGCCCUCCCUCCAGCCCCCUUCACCACCCCACCCCCAACACGGGGGAUGCGGCAACCUGCCAUGAAUGAAGAGUAGCUGGUCACAUGGCCCGGUCACCAUGGAGACGGAUCCCCGCAGACAGAGGUAGG